rnacentral:rRNA from 1 species
CCUACGGGAGGCAGCAGUGAGGAAUAUUGGUCAAUGGACGAGAGUCUGAACCAGCCAAGUAGCGUGAAGGAUGACUGCCCUAUGGGUUGUAAACUUCUUUUAUAUGGGAAUAAAAUGUUCCACGUGUGGGAUUUUGUAUGUACCAUAUGAAUAAGGAUAGGCUAACUCCGUGCCAGCAGCCGCGGUAAUACGGAGGAUCCGAGCGUUAUCCGGAUUUAUUGGGUUUAAAGGGAGCGUAGGUGGAUUGUUAAGUCAGUUGUGAAAGUUUGCGGCUCAACCGUAAAAUUGCAGUUGAAACUGGCAGUCUUGAGUACAGUAGAGGUGGGCGGAAUUCGUUGUGUAGCGGUGAAAUGCUUAGAUAUCACGAAGAACUCCGAUUGCGAAGGCAGUUCACUGGACUGCAACUGACACUGAGGCUCGAAAGUGUGGGUAUCAAACAGGAUUAGAUACCCGAGUAGUC